rnacentral:rRNA from 1 species
UACGUAGGGUGCGAGCGUUAAUCGGAAUUACUGGGCGUAAAGCGUGCGCAGGCGGUUUGCUAAGACAGGUGUGAAAUCCCCGGGCUUAACCUGGGAACUGCGCUUGUAACUGGCAAGCUAGAGUGUGGCAGAGGGGGGUGAAUUCCACGUGUAGCAGUGAAAUGCGUAGAGAUGUGGAGGAACACCGAUGGCGAAGGCAGCCCCCUGGGCUAACACUGACGCUCAUGCACGAAAGCGUGGGGAGCAAACAGG